rnacentral:rRNA from 1 species
AAUGAACGCUGGCGGCGCGCCUAAUACAUGCAAGUCGAGCGAGAAGACGUAGCAAUACGUUUGUAAAGCGGCGAACGGGUGAGGAAUACAUGGGUAACCUACCCUCGAGUGGGGAAUAACUAGCCGAAAGGUUAGCUAAUACCGCGUACGCUCCUUGGACUUCGGUUCAGGGAGGAAAGCGAUACCGUGGGUAUCGCGCUCUUGGUUGGGCUCAUGUCCUAUCAGCUUGUUGGUGAGGAACGGCUCACCAAGGCUUCGACGGGUAGCUGGUCUGAGAGGACGAUCAGCCACACUGGCACUGCGACACGGGCCAGACUCCUACGGGAGGCAGCAGUAAGGAAUAUUGCGCAAUGGGCGAAAGCCUGACGCAGCGACGCCGCGUGGGGGAUGAAGGUCUUCGGAUUGUAAACCCCUUUCGGGAGGGAAGAUGGAACGAGCAAUCGUUCGGACGGUACCUCCAGAAGCAGCCACGGCCAACUUCGUGCCA